GACGAACGCUGGCGGCGUGCCUAACACAUGCAAGUUGAGCGACGAACCAGGGCUUGCCCUGGGGCAAAGCAGCGAACGGGUGAGUAACACGUGGGUAACCUACCCCGAUAACCGGGACAACCCGAGGAAACUCGGGCUAAUACCGGAUGUGCUCACUGGACUUCGGUUCAGUGCGUAAAGGAAGCUUCGGCCUCCGUAUCGGGAGGGGCCCGCGGCCCAUUAGUUUGUUGGUGAGGUAACGGCUCACCAAGACCGCGAUGGGUAGCUGGUCUGAGAGGACGAUCAGCCACACUGGGACUGAGACACGGCCCAGACCCCUACGGGAGGCAGCAGUGGGGAAUCUUGCGCAAUGCGCGAAAGCGUGACGCAGCAACGCCGCGUGGGGGAAGAAGGCCUUCGGGUUGUAAACCCCUUUCAGGAGGGACGAAGGUUCGGCGGUGAAUAGCCGUCCGGACUGACGGUACCUCCACAAGAAGCCCCGGCCAACUACGUG
rnacentral:rRNA from 1 species